CCUACGGGUGGCAGCAGUGAGGAAUAUUGGUCAAUGGGCGAGAGCCUGAACCAGCCAAGUCGCGUGAAGGAUGAAGGAUCUAUGGUUUGUAAACUUCUUUUAUAUGGGAAUAAAGUGAGGAACGUGUUCCUUUUUGUAUGUACCAUAUGAAUAAGCAUCGGCUAACUCCGUGCCAGCAGCCGCGGUAAUACGGAGGAUGCGAGCGUUAUCCGGAUUUAUUGGGUUUAAAGGGUGCGUAGGCGGAAGGUUAAGUCAGCGGUCAAAUGUCGGUGCUCAACACCGGCCUGCCGUUGAAACUGGUCUUCUUGAGUGAGCGAGAAGUAUGCGGAAUGCGUGGUGUAGCGGUGAAAUGCAUAGAUAUCACGCAGAACUCCGAUUGCGAAGGCAGCAUACCGGCGCUCAACUGACGCUGAGGCACGAAAGCGUGGGGAUCGAACAGGAUUAGAUACCCCAGUAGUC
rnacentral:rRNA from 1 species